rnacentral:rRNA from 1 species
GAUGAACGCUGGCGGCGUGCCUAAUACAUGCAAGUCGAGCGAACAGACGAGGAGCUUGCUCCUCUGACGUUAGCGGCGGACGGGUGAGUAACAAGUGGAUAACCUACCUAUAAGACUGGGAUAACUUCGGGAAACCGGAGCUAAUACCGGAUAAUAUAUUGAACCGCAUGGUUCAAUAGUGAAAGACGGUUUUGGUGUCACUUAUAGAUGGAUCCGCGCCGCAUUAGCUAGUUGGUAAGGUAACGGCUUACCAAGGCAACGAUGCGUAGCCGACCUGAGAGGGUGAUCGGCCACACUGGAACUGCGACACGGUCCAGACUCCUACUGGAGGCAGCAGUAGGGAAUCUUCCGCAAUGGGCGAAAGCCUGACGGAGCAACGCCGCGUGAGUGAUGAAGGUCUUCGGAUCGUAAAACUCUGUUAUUAGGGAAGAACAAAUGUGUAAGUAACUAUGCACGUCUUGACGGUACCUAAUCAGAAAGCCACGGCUAACUACGUG